UACGGGGGGAGCAAGCGUUGUUCGGAUUUACUGGGCGUAAAGGGCGCGUAGGCGGCCACGCACGUCCGUUGUGAAAUCGCCCGGCUCAACUGGGCGGGGUCAGCGGAUACGGUGUGGCUAGAGCAAGCUAGGGGGCAAUGGAAUUCCCGGUGUAGUGGUGGAAUGCGUAGAUAUCAGGAGGAACACCAGCGGCGAAGGCGGCACUCUGGGCUGGAACUGACGCUGAGGAGCGAAAGCGUGGGGAGCGAACAGG
rnacentral:rRNA from 1 species